GAUAAACGCUGGCGGCGCACAUAAGACAUGCAAGUUGAACGGACUUAAUCGAAAUAUUUCUGUUUUGAAGCGGUUAGUGGCGGACUGGUGAGUAACGCGUAAGGAACCUGCCUAUUAGAGGGGAAUAACCGUGAGAAAUCAUUGCUAAUACCGCAUAUGCCAUAGAUAUCACACGAUAACAGUGGGACAGGAGCAAUCCGCUAAUAGAUGGCCUUGCGUCUGAUUAGAUAGUUGGUGGGGUAACGGCCUACCAAGUCGACGAUCAGUAGCCGGACUGAGAAGUUGAACGGCCAAAUUGGGACGGAGAUAAGGCCCAGAAUUCUACGGGAGGGAGCAGUCGGGAAAAUUGCGCAAGGGAGGUAACUCUGACGCAGUGACGCCGCGUAUAGGAAGAAAGUUUUCGGAUUGGAAACUAUUGUCGUUAGGGAAGAGAAAGGACAGUACCUAAGGAAUAAGCUCCGGCUAACUACGUG
rnacentral:rRNA from 1 species